GAUGAACGCUGGCGGCGUGCUUAAUACAUGCAAGUCGAACGGAAAGGCCCUGCUUUUGUGGGGUGCUCGAGUGCCGAACGGGUGAGUAACACGCGAGUAACCCGCCCUUAACUUUCGGAUAACUUCACGAAACAGGGGAUAUUAUCCGAUAGGAUCUCUUGCUGCACAGUGUGGGAUGGUAAGUUUCGGCGGUUGGGGAUCGUCUCGCGGCUUAUCAGCUUGUUGGUCGGGUAGUGGCUUACCAAGGGUUUGACGGAUAGCCGGCCUGAGAGGGUGACCGGCGACAAUGGGACUGAGGUAGGGCGCAGACGGCAACGGGAGGCAGCGGUGGAGAGUAUGGCGGAGUAGGGGGGAGCGUGAUACGGCGGCGCCGCGUGCGGAAAAACGGCCUACGGGGUAUGAACCACUUUCGAAUGUAACGAGGAGUGAGUGACGGUAAUGAGUCAGGAAGCACCGGCUAACUACGUG
rnacentral:rRNA from 1 species